rnacentral:rRNA from 1 species
UGGGGAAUCUUGCGCAAUGGAGGAAACUCUGAUGCAGCGACGCCGCGUGAGCGAUGAAGCCCUUCGGGGUGUAAAGCUCUUUCGACGGGAACGAUAAUGACGGUACCCGGAGAAGAAGCUGCGGCUAACUACGUGCCAGCAGCCGCGGUAAUACGUAGGCAGCAAACGUUGUUCGGAAUUACUGGGCGCAAAGAGUGUGUAGGCGGUUUUGCAAGUUUGGUGUGAAAUCUCCCGGCUUAACUGGGAGGGUGCGCCGAAAACUGCAAGGCUCGAGUACUGGAGAGGAAAGCGGAAUUCCUGGUGUAGCGGUGAAAUGCGUAGAUAUCAGGAGGAACACCGGUGGUGUAGACGGCUUUCUGGACAGUCACUGACGCUGAGACACGAAAGCGUGGGGAGCAAAC